CGGAACAACUGUGUCCUUCCAACCUCUGAAGAAUCCAAAGAAAAUUGUAAAAAUGUAGUUGAAAAAUCAGGUUCUGAUGUGCAGGUUGAGAACGAACAUGUUCAACCCGUAUCUUCCGACCAAGAUCCUGCUUUUGCUGUUGAUAGGGUUGUAUAUAAACCCACGAGGGAUGAACAUGUUCAGAAUGAAGUUACUUCCACAUCUGAUUCAGAUGUGUCAAGAAAUCAUCAUGAUAGUUGUGAAACGAGAGAUUCUUCUGAUUUGUUGACUCUGCCUGUAGAUUUGAAUCCAUCAAGUGGUAAAAUUCCUAAGACUGAUGAUCCUGACACCUUCAGUUCGAGCGUUGGCAGCGAACCCAUAUAUGAAGGAGAGGAGUGCAUAUUGGAGUCAGGAACUACAGUUUAUGAAAAUCGAGAGCCUGUCUAUGAAGGAGAAGUAAUUCUUGCAGGACAAGUGGAUAAAAGCAGCAUUAAUGAUGAUGACCAGACUCACAAGGAUAUGAUGACUCCAAAACAAGGUAAAAGUGCUGCAUACAAAUGGAGAAAAGAAAAUUGCUAGAUGAUUAAUUGUUGUACGUCAGUGGGAAAUGAUACUGUCUUCCUUGUUUUUUCUUAUUUUUUUUAUAUAUUUUUGAUAUAAAGCAUUUUGUGCUUAUGUUUUUCUUCUCCAGUAUAAAUAUAAUUACUUAUUCCCUCUUUUGAUUCAUUUUAGGGGAAUUGAUAAGAAACUUCCUGAGGAACAGUGCUAGUCAGUUGACCAUAUAUGGGUAUUGGUUUUACCACAUGAUGUGCUUGAGAAGAUAUAGUAUGUAGCAAAAGGAGAUUCUGAUUUGAUUGUUUGUUUUGCAGCUUAUUUUGCUUACAGGAUAAAGUGAAAGAACGCGAGCUGUGUGUUUUUUUCAGAAAUAAUCAUUUCAAUACUAUGUUUAAGGUUGGUGCACAUCCUGAAUAGCUCCAUCUUAGUUAACGAUGCAAGUUUUCUCAAUGCUAAUUACUCUGGUGGGAACUAAAUAAGUUGCUGAAAUUUGUGUAGGACUGAUGUUUGAUGUGUGCUGCCGUAAUAUUAAUAAUUAACCUCAGGAAAUAUAUAAUUAUUAUGUAUUAAUGAUUACCUUUUCUACUCUUUCUUUUAUUAAGAAACUUCCUAUGUUUAGAUGUCAUGUUGCAUAAAGACACAUUGACUUGUACUGGAGUAUCAUUUUGGUCAUGUAGGAAUGACAAGGGACCUAAAAUACAAUUUUUUUCAGUAAUAAAUUGCAACCCCAACACAUUUUUGCACAUGCAUAUACAAUUUCAAAUAUUAUCGAAUUUUAUUAUAGGAGGACCUAAUUUAGAUGUUAUUCGAAAGCCACACAUGAAGCUGGUCCUCUACUUAGCAACAAAUGACAAUGAUACUGAACCCGUGGAUAGUAGUCUUGUGCUAGAAGAGAUAUGAAGUCAUGUAAUCACAAUUUCAUUUUCAUUAUUCUCUUUAAAGUUUUGUUAAGUGAUCUGUUUACUUGUAACUCAUUAAAUAACAUCCUAAAGGAUUUAGUUCUAGAAUUUUUUGCUAUUUUGCAAAGAAAGUUUUCCUGGUGUUUUUUAUAAAUGAUCUGUUAUAAUAUUAUCAAUCAUUAGAUUAUCAAGUGUGCUUGUUAUGCUUCUUGACAUCAGUUUAUUUAAUCACCGCCGAAUAUUUUUAUUUGCAGUAUGAAGGUGAAUUAUAUAUCCUAGCUACUGAUCAAGGAUAUAUAAACCAGCCUGAUCUGGUCUGGGAAAAGCUGAAUGAGGUAAGAUUGUAGCAUGGAAGCACUAUAUUUCCUUUGUUUUUCCAUUGAUCUUAGUUGCAGUUGGAAUGAAAGAUUUGAUCCAUACAAUGUUGUUAAUAAAAAUUUGACUUUAAGUUUUAAAAGUUAAGUUCGAUGAACUGACAUUCAGAUAGAGCUAUAGUCCAUAUGUUUAGAUUCCGUCUGCAUAGAAAUGUAACUUUUAAGUUUUAAAAGGUGAGUUUGAUGGACUGGCAGAGCAAUGGUCCUUGUGUAUAGAUUUCGUCUGCCACUUGGGAUGGAAUGGUCAAACUGGACCAAAACUUGGUGAUGAAAUUGAAACAAAUUAAAGGUGGGUGACCGAAAUGAAAAUAAUCUCGAAGUUGGAUAACUUCCACUCAUAUCUUCCCAUUUCCUAUUGAUCAGAAGGCCUAAUUUAAUAUAUGGUUUUGAUAAAUUCUAGUUCAGUAUAAUAAAUAUCUAAGCCCACCUUCUAUUAUGGAAAUGAAUUAGAAAGCACUACUAGUUUUGAUAUUGGAAAUAGCAAUUUCUUUGUUUUGUCAUAAAUAAAUCCAGAGCCAUCUAGCAAGGUGCUGCUAAGUUUCCUUCCUCAAGAAGUGAAAUCUUUCUAAUCUUUUCCUGCAUGCUUUGUAUUAUGGGAAAUCUGCGACAUAAUUAUACAUACUGGGGCUCUUAUUGAUAAUAGUGAAUUUUGUUGUGUGUUUGUCUCCUUAUCCUUUGAAUUUGUGUUUUUUUGGGAAAGAGAUCACUUAAAUAUUCCUUACAAAAUAUUCUUUUCUAACUUCACGUGGUUGAGCUUGAUUUGAUGGUUAGGUGAAUGGGGACACGUUGUUUAUGACGGGAAACUUCAAGGAAUUCAAAGUGGAAGAUCAGUCCAACAGCACAUGGCAUGAACAGAAUGCCAUUGAUAGUACUGCGGUAUGUAGCUUCUAAAGACUCCAAAUAUAUUGGGAUUUUGGAAGCAUGAAAUAUAACCCAACUAAAUUUUGUUUUUGCAGGACUAUUUGGCUAGCAUUGAUGGUGGUUCUCAAGAAAAUUUGACUUUCAGGUAAUUGUUUAGUUCUCUGGAGCCUGAUUGAUUCAUCAUUGUCUAAUAUUUAGAUGAUAACACAGCAAAAUUUCAUUCUGAUGAUUAUUAUUAUUUCUUCUUCCUCCUCCUCCUCCUCCCACGAGUCUAUUCUGUUGUCUUCCUUACUAGGUCCAAUUUUAGCAAGCUGUAUUAUUAAAUUUGUUAUCACAACUAUUGUCUUUUUGUUAUAAUCUUUUUUUUUUUUUGGUAUGAUUUUGAUUGCAAUUAGGAAUGAAUCUAUGAGCUACAUUAACUUUCAUUGUAACAGGCAAAUUAUAAUGAACUUGACAUAAAGAAAAUAUUUUUACUUUCUGUGUAAGGAAAUAUUUUUUUUUUUCUGAAUGCCUUGCUUUUCAUUGAGGUCAAUUUUACAAUUUUAUUUGUUGUUUGCAAUAACUUGUUCACUCAAUGUUGAUGGUCUUUGUUAAGAUUUACUUUAGAGUAACGUCCUUUGAAGGAAUUUUAUUUCAAAUUCUAUUUUCCGUAUGGUGUGUUUUACUUGUAACAUUUUAUGUAGAACAACAUCGUCUGAGUAACUUUGAUGCUGUUUUUGGCAGUUCUGAUUUGCAAUUGGCAAUUGCUCUUCAACAACAGGAAUUUGAGCAACAGCAACCACAGCGUAGUUCGCAGCAACAGCAUCCACAGCGUAAUCCGCAGCAACCUGCCAUUAGUGGUGGUUCAAAGCUGAUUACUGGUCCCCCGGUAGGUUUCUUCUGUUUUUGCUGCAUUACAAUUUUUUGUUUGGAUUUGACAGUUAAGGUAUAUUGGCAAAUAAGCAUGUGUGGUACACAUUAAUGGACAUGAUUGGACACUAUUAAGUAAGAAAAAAGAAGCUAAAAUCUUUUUCUUGUAGUAACGUCCAGUCCCUUCAUAUAUUGCUGACUAAACAUGGGGUAAAGAUUAAGUUGAGCUAUUAUAAGGGAGAGGAAGAAUCUGUUUGUUAUAUUGUCCUGUGAGGUUGUGAGGUAUUUGGCGAAUGGGUUGUGUCACUUGUUAAACUACCAUUUGCUGCAAUCUUGAAUUUCUGCCGAUGUUUUUGCAGGUUCCUAGUAGCAGCAAAAAUACAUCUUCGUCUUCAAAACAGGACACUAAACCAUCAAAAGACAAGUGUAAUAUCAUGUGAUUACUCUGGUGGGCUCUAUGAAAGGAAAAUUCUGUAAAUGUUUGACAGUUUGUAACGCCCUUUUUACCUUAUUAUGUAUUCUAAUUUCCAUUCGAGUAAUACUCUCAUCCAGCUAUCUGUACAUACUAGUUUUGGACGCUACAAUAUAGACCACUUUCUUUUAAUUUUUUGAUCGUUCUCAUUUUAGUCAUUUAAGCAGUAUAUAUGAUACUUGCACUAGUGAAAGCUUGUUGAGGAUGUCGACUAAAUUUUUUGGACGGUAUGCUAAUGUUAUAACCGUAGUAGGGGAUACAAGACGUCGAGGGGUGAGCUGC
rnacentral:lncRNA from 1 species